ACCUGUGUCCAAUCUAAGUGUCACAUGAUCUAUCAGUAUAUAUACACCUCUUCUGAAAGGUCUCAGAGGCUGCAACAUCUAAUGAAAGGGCGCUGCUAACCA